GUGCCAUCCAGAGCGGCCGAGAGACCUGGCUCGUCGACGCCGCAGCAACCACGUCCGGUUUUCGGGCGGGGUGCUUCCGCCGGGACCGAUGGGAG
rnacentral:ncRNA from 2 species